AACUCCCGUCUCUUAGUAUUAAUAGCAAUUAAAAAAAAGAAAAUUAGGUUAAAUAGGAAGAAAUGUUGCUUGAUUAGGAGUUUAGAAGAGAUGGUCUUUUGAGACACGUGUUGGCUAAAGAGUGUUCAUCUCUUUCUCUCUUCCCACUCCGUGUCUCUCUCCCUCUCGUCGACCAUCCUCCAAAAUCUCUCAAAUGAUACUCGAUGGCGACGAUUCCUCCCCAAUUCUUCAGGGCAAGUCAAAUAUAUUUCUUCUGUGUGUUAGAUUAUGGACGGAGGAGGUGGCGACGGUGGUGGUGCCGCGUACAACCCACACACGGUGGAGGAGGUUUAUAGGGAUUUUAAGGGUCGUAGGAAUGGCAUGAUUAAGGCUCUAACCACUGAUGUUCAGGAGUUUUACCGACUUUGCGAUACAGUGUCACAAGUUCUUGAUGAGCAGAAGCUGUGUCAGAUACAAAGAAAGCUAUUGAGUUGGAUCCUACAUUGGCCAAAGCUUAAUUAAAAAAAGGCUACUUGGAUACAGCAUGGAGAAGAGGAUUGUGCCUAGGUGUAACGUAAUCAAAGCUCUCAUCGCCAAAGGGUUGCUUGGAAGUGAAUCCCCUUCGAUUCCAUGUGUCUUGGCAUAUACCAAUGAAGCCUUCUUAAAAAGAUAUGUGAUGAAGCACGAUGAUAAGCAGCUUGUGACUUAGUUAUUAGCCAUCUUCAUGAAAGAUAGUAAUAAAAUAGAUUAGAAAAGGUAUAUGUUAGUGUUAUCUUCAGGUUGGCAUGGUACAGUUGUUAAUUAUAACGUUUGGUUUAUCGGUUUCAUCAGGAAAAAAAACAUUUGUUAUGUUCUUUCAUGAUUCAGAAACAUCAUGAUGUUUUUUUUUGUGAA